UACGUAGGGGGCGAGCGUUGUCCGGAUUUAUUGGGCGUAAAGGGCUCGUAGGCGGCCAACUAAGUCAGACGUGAAAUCCCUCGGCUUAACCGGGGAACUGCAUCUGAUACUGGAUGGCUUGAGUUCGGGAGAGGGAUGCGGAAUUCCAGGUGUAGCGGUGAAAUGCGUAGAUAUCUGGAGGAACACCGGUGGCGAAGGCGGGUUCCUGGACAUUGAACUGACGCUGAGGCACGAAGGCCAGGGGAGGCGAAAGGG
rnacentral:rRNA from 1 species